rnacentral:lncRNA from 1 species
UUUUAAGAGAUACAUUUUCUCAAUGAGGAAAGACACCUUUAAUAAAAGCACUGAAUUAUAAAUAUUUCUACAACAAAUCUACCUGAAUGGUUGUUUUAAACUUAGAGAAUGUCUUCGCAUGUGGAUUUCUUUUCCUCCAAGUUGGUGCAUUGUAAGAUCCUGAAGAAUAUUUGUCUGUAUAUCCAUUAAACGUUGGUUCCUGUAUGACUCUGGUAUUACGGUAGAACACAUAAGUUGAUCUUCGAGGUUCUGCAGAAUUGAAGUAAGUGUUUCUUUCAGUCUGUCUCACAGAACGAAUAGAAGAAGCAGUUUCAUCAUCCUUCCUUUGAUAAUUUUGUUGGUAAUUUGUUCUAACUUUUGAGUGUGAAGUGGGAAUUCCUUUGUCUGUUCCUGUAUUAGGUGAGUUUCUUUGCUCCUCAGAAAUCCAUUUCUUUUUCUUAACUCCCUUAAAGUGGUAUUUCCUCACCCG